CUACGGGCCGCUCCAGUGGGGAAUAUUGCACAAUGGGCGCAAGCCUGAUGCAGCCAUGCCGCGUGUAUGAAGAAGGCCUUCGGGUUGUAAAGUACUUUCAGCGGGGAGGAAGGGAGUAAAGUUAAUACCUUUGCUCAUUGACGUUACCCGCAGAAGAAGCACCGGCUAACUCCGUGCCAGCAGCCGCGGUAAUACGGAGGGUGCAAGCGUCAAUCGGAAUUACUGGGCGUAAAGCGCACGCAGGCGGUUUGUUAAGUCAGAUGGGAAAUCCCCGGGCUCAACCUGGGAACUGCAUCUGAUACUGGCAAGCUAGAGUCUCGUAGAGGGGGGUAGAAUUCCAGGUGUAGCGGUGAAAUGCGUAGAGAUCUGGAGGAAUACCGGUGGCGAAGGCGGCCCCCUGGACGAAGACUGACGCUCAGGUGCGAAAGCGUGGGGAGCAAACAGGAUUAGAUACCCCCGUAGUC
rnacentral:rRNA from 1 species